rnacentral:rRNA from 1 species
GACGAACGCUGGCGGCGUGCUUAACACAUGCAAGUCGAGCGGUAAGGCCCUUUCGGGGGUACACGAGCGGCGAACGGGUGAGUAACACGUGGGUGACCUGCCCUCAGCUCUGGGAUAAGCCUGGGAAACCGGGUCUAAUACCGGAUAUGACUCCAUGACGCAUGUUGUGGGGUGGAAAGCCUUGUGCGGCUGAGGAUGGGCCCGCGGCCUAUCAGCUUGUUGGUGGGGUGANGGCCUACCAAGGCGACGACGGGUAGCCGGCCUGAGAGGGCGACCGGCCACACUGGGACUGAGACACGGCCCAGACUCCUACGGGAGGCAGCAGUGGGGAAUCUUGCGCAAUGGGCGAAAGCCUGACGCAGCGACGCCGCGUGGGUGAGGAA